GGUAGGCACGUGAGUUCACAUCGAUCGAGACUUCAUCCUUCUACAUUAGAAGCAUUAGUAUGUACACAAAAUUGGUUGAAGACUGACAAAAAAGCAACAGUGAAUGAUGAAGAUAAUGAUGUUGAUCCAACAAUGGAGCCUUACGUAGUUGAUCUUGAUGAUUAGAGAGUACAUUGUUCUUUUUAGUAUAUGAGUGAGGACAUGGAUGAGAACAAAUUGUAGUGUUUAGUACUUAUGGUUACUAGUUAUUAUAUUUGAGUUUAUGGUUGGUAGUUAUUAUUGAUGUAUUAAACAUUGUUAGUAACAAAAGUACAAUCUCAAACUUUCCUCUAUUAUGCAUAAUUGAAUCACUCAUUUAUUCAUUAUAACAAAAAUGCAAUUAUUCAUUGAAAACCUUAGUUUCCAACCUUAUCUAUUAUUAAAGUAAAAUUGAAAAAAAAAACAUUACCAUCACACCCUUAUAAUUCUCUUCAUUAAAAAUAAAUUGACUUACAUAAUUAUUAUAAUAUUGAUUUUAAAACAUAAUCAAACAACAUAAUAGUUCUCCCAUUACCCAUGACUCAAAACAAGACAAAACCAAAGAAAAAAGAAAUCCCUUUUAAUAAGGCAUGUCAUAUUGUAAUAGUAUAAUAGUUAUAACUAACCACUUCCUAAUAAUAAUAAUAAUAAUUUUUAGAAAGAAAAAAAAAAAAAAAAGAG